ensembl:lncRNA
GUCCACACACCAUGUCUGAGCACCACGUCCACACCCCCUGGCUGAGCACCAUGACCGAGCACCGUGGCCGAGCACCGUGUUCACACAUCGUGGCUGAGCACUGAGUCAACGCACCAAGUCCAAGCACCGUGGUCAAGCACCAUGUCCACACACCACAUCUGAGCACCGUGUCCAUCCACCAUGUCCAUGACGUGGUCAAGCACCAAGUCCAAGUAUCAAGCAGAGCACCAUGUCCACGCACUGUCCCCGAGCACCACGUCCAUGGUGCAUGGCUGAGCACCGUGCCCGAGCACCACAUCCAUGCACCAUGUCCAUGACGUGGUCCAGCACCGUGCCCAAGCACCAUGUCCAUGCACCAAGUCCAUGACGUGGUCCAGCACCGUACCCAAGCACCAUGUCCAUGCACCAAGUCCAAGCACCACAGCAGAGCACCGUGUCCGUGCGCUGUGUCUGAACACCGUGGUCGAGCACCAUGUCCACACACCACGUUCGUGCACCGUGUCCACACAGCAUGUCCGAGCGUGGUGCCUGCACACCAUGUCCAUGGGAUGUGGACGAGCACCGUGCCCCGAGCACCGUGUCCACACACCACGUCCAAGCACCACAGCAGAGCACCACGCCCGAGCACCACGUCCACGAUGUGUGGCUGAGCACUGUGUCCGAGCACCGUGUCCGAGCACCAUGUCCACACACCCUGUUCGAGCACCACACUCGAGCACCACGUCCACGAUGUGUGACCGUGUCCACGCACCAUGUCUGAACACCGUGUCUGAGCACCACGUUCACGUGCCGUGUCCGUGAUGCCUGGCUGAGCACCGUGCCCAAGCACCAUGUCCAAGCAUCACACCCGAGCACCACAUCCACGAUGUGUGACUGUGCUUGAGCACCGUGUCCACGUGCCAUGUCCGAGCACCGUGGCCAAGCACCACAUCCAAGCACUGUGUCCACGCACCACGUCUGAGCACCACAUCCCCGAUGUGUGACUGAUCACCAUGUCCAAGAACCGUGUCCACAUGCCACGCCCCCGAUGCGUGACUGACCACUGUGCCCGAGCACCACGUCCACAGUGUGUGGCCAAACACCACGUCUGAGCACCAUGUCCGCACACCACGCCCGAGCAUCACAUCCACGGUGUGUGACCAAACACUGUGUCCCAGCACCACGUCCCCAGUGUGUGACUGACCACCACGCCCGAGCACUACACCCACGGUGCGUGGCCAAACACCGCGUCUCAGCACCAUGUCCACACACCACGACCAAGCACCGCUGAGCACCGAGAUCACACCUCUGACCAAACCCUACACCCACAUACAUCUGAGCACCUCAUCCCACCACCACACCGGCUCCGCAGGGAACGGCUCCACCACGACCCCGGGACACCUUGGACAUGGCAAAACUCCGGUUUGCAUCAACCCAACCGGCUCCCGGCACACCUUGAGCUGUCGCUCCGGAAAGGUAAACUUCCUUCUCAACGACAUUGCUUUAUUUUUUAAUAUCUUGGUUCCUUAGUUUCAUAUAUACAUUAGUAGCACCUCAGCGAGAUGGAAUCAGGCAGAAGCGUGAUACAGUUUGUUAAAACACCAUAGCACCGUUUGUAUUACAAGAUUUCAUUUAAUAAAAAUAUGCCUUAUAGAGCCCA